rnacentral:misc_RNA from 1 species
UCUGGAGCGAUUCCUCAAGCGACUGUAAAGACGCCGGAAUGGAACCGUCGGCCGCGCAGGUCGCGCAGGCCGCAAUUGCGCAGAGCAUCUGAGCGUGCUUGGGCUGCUUCGUCUUGAUUUAUUGUAACAGCAUAUCCUUCGGCACGGCCCGCCGUGACGGUGCGUAAUCCCCCGCGGGGAGCGCGCAGGCCGGGGCAGGCGCCGGAGUUGAAUGCAGUCCCUUAGCUCAGUUGGUUAGAGCGCUACACUGAUAAUGUAGAGGUCGGCAGUUCAACUCUGCCAGGGACUACAAACUGAAAAAGAGCACAUUGACAUGUUGGAAGCUGAGAAUCGAAAGAUUCGAAGGUAAAUCACGAGCAAAUCAAAAACAGAAAGAACACAAGAGCGCCGAGCUUCUGAAUCACCGCUGAAAGGCUGGGGUGAAGGAGUGAGGAGAAAAGCCGAAGAAGUUCAGAGCGAAAAGGCGAUUGCUUAAUGAUAUUAAGGAAAGGAGAGAAGGGCACAUGAAGGAUGCCUUGGCUCUCGGAGGCGAAGAAGGACGUGACAAGCUGCGAUAAGCCAUGCGUAGGGGCAAAUACCCAUUGAUGCGUGGAUUUC